rnacentral:tRNA from 1 species
GUGCUUGUAGUGUAGUGGUUAUCACAUCUACCUAACACGCGGAAGGUCCCAGGUUUGAUCCCUGGCAGGCACA